AUUGAACGCUGGCGGCAUGCCUUACACAUGCAAGUCGAACGGUAACGCGGGGCAACCUGGCGACGAGUGGCGAACGGGUGAGUAAUGUAUCGGAACGUGCCCAGUUGUGGGGAUAACUGCUCGAAAGAGCAGCUAAUGCCGCAUACGACCUGAGGGUGAAAGCGGGGGACCGCAAGACCUCGCGCAAUUGGAGCGGCCGAUAGCAGAUUAGGUAGUGGGUGGGGUAAAGGCUCACCAAGCCAACGAUCUGUAGCUGGUCUGAGAGGACGACCAGCCACACUGGGACUGAGACACGGCCCAGACUCCUACGGGAGGCAGCAGUGGGGAAUUUUGGACAAUGGGCGUAAGCCUGAUCCAGCCAUGCCGCGUGCGGGAAGAAGGCCUUCGGGUUGUAAACCGCUUUUGUCAGGGAAGAAAAGACUCCUGUUAAUACCGGGGGUUCAUGACGGUACCUGAAGAAUAAGCACCGGCUAACUACGUGCCAGCCGCCGCCGUAA
rnacentral:rRNA from 1 species